rnacentral:rRNA from 1 species
UACGAAGGGGGCUAGCGUUGCUCGGAAUCACUGGGCGUAAAGGGUGCGUAGGCGGGUCUUUAAGUCAGGGGUGAAAUCCUGGAGCUCAACUCCAGAACUGCCUUUGAUACUGAAGAUCUUGAGUUCGGGAGAGGUGAGUGGAACUGCGAGUGUAGAGGUGAAAUUCGUAGAUAUUCGCAAGAACACCAGUGGCGAAGGCGGCUCACUGGCCCGAUACUGACGCUGAGGCGCGACAGCGUGGGGAUCAAACAGG